rnacentral:rRNA from 1 species
GACGAACGCUGGCGGCGUGCUUAACACAUGCAAGUCGAACGGAAAGGCCCUGCUUUUGUGGGGUGCUCGAGUGGCGAACGGGUGAGUAACACGUGAGUAACCUGCCCUUGACUUUGGGAUAACUUCAGGAAACUGGGGCUAAUACCGGAUAGGAGCUCCUGCUGCAUGGUGGGGGUUGGAAAGUUUCGGCGGUUGGGGAUGGACUCGCGGCUUAUCAGCUUGUUGGUGGGGUAGUGGCUUACCAAGGCUUUGACGGGUAGCCGGCCUGAGAGGGUGACCGGCCACAUUGGGACUGAGGUACGGCCCAGACUCCUACGGGAGGCAGCAGUGGGGAAUAUGGCACAAUGGGCGGAAGCCUGAGGCAGCAACGCCGCGUGCGGGAUGACGGCCUUCGGGUUGUAAACCGCUGUCGCCGGUGACGAAGCGUGAGUGACGGUAAUGGGUAAAGAAGCACCGGCUAACUACGUG